UGAUCUUCCUAAUCUUCCAGUAUCUAUACAAAAACAACUUCAAGCAAACUAUAUGCAACCCAGGAAUGUCUCAAGAAUAUGGUUCACAUGAUUCAUGCUUCAGCAUCUGACCAAACUGAGUUUUCUGAACCUGUGUUAAUCCAACAAAAAUUGGAAAUCAACAGCAAACAGGUGGAUCCAUCAGCUCAAGCAACUGAAUCAUCAUACAACUACGACUGGACUCAGGAUAUUUUCAAAUGACACUAAUAGGAAUAUAGCACAAUGGAAGUGUGCGAGUUGCAUGUUGUACUGGCUACAAUUCUUGGUCAAUAUGCGAAUUUUCCAAUGCCAAUGCGACAUUCAGCCAUAUGGAUAAUGCAAACACCAGCCCAAAGGUAUAGUUUACAGGAACCGUAUCAAUGUAUUGUUCAUUUUAUUCUUUGAAAAACUAGAGAGUAAGGCUAAAUGGCGAUCUCCUUGAAAUUGAUAAAUCUAUUUUCUUUAGUUUUCCUUGGAUUAAGGCCAAUGGCUGUUG